rnacentral:rRNA from 1 species
GACGUAGGGGGCGAGCGUUGUCCGGAUUUAUUGGGCGUAAAGCGUGCGUAGGCGGCUGCGCAAGUCGGUUGUGAAACCCCGGGGCUCAACCCCGGAACUGCAUCCGAUACUGCGUGGCUAGAGGUAGGUAGGGGAGAUCGGAAUUCCUGGUGUAGCGGUGAAAUGCGCAGAUAUCAGGAGGAACACCGGUGGCGAAGGCGGCCUUCUGGGCUCAACCUGACGCUGAUACGCGAAAGCGUGGGGAGCGAACCGG